rnacentral:lncRNA from 1 species
CUUAAAGCAAGGAACAGCGAGGAUUCUGAACGAUUUGGGUCCUUUAAAUUUUCAAAUCUAAAUGAAGAUUUUGGAGGCCGAGCCAGUCAGGGACAAAAUAAAAGGAAGAAGGUGAUCUGUUUGGUUACUGCAUCUACUGUACAAUUGCAUCUAUCGUAAAACUGCAUCUUGUUACAUGCUUUGUGCAGCCCACUUUGUCAUGCACAUUAAUUCAUGCUUUGCACAGUUCACUUUGUCAUGCAUAUUAAUUCAUGCUUUUUGCAGUUCACUUUGUCAUGCACAUAUUAGGUGCAUGUUGAUGUGAAGUUCUCACAUCAUCUUGUUUGCUAAUUUGUAGAGCAAUGUAGAAUAUCCUACUGUUAAAGUAACUCGAGUUCUUAGGUCCUAUAUAACUAGAGAUACUCCAUGAGCAGCAUAGAUGAGAUACUUUUAUUCUUGUCAGCCCGCCUGAAUGCACGAGAGAGCCUAGCUGUUGCUCAAAGACUGAAUGCAAAACCCACUGCAGCCCAGUCUAUGAGAAAAGCAGACCAGCAAGCCUGAGAUGAUGUGUUUCCAAAAUAAUUGAGUGUUGACUAAUGCCAUAGUACUACCAUGGUUCAAAUGUUGAAUUUUUUUCCUGUGUUUUUCUUUAAGCUGGCCCGCCCAGCUAUUUUGUUGUAGCUCGGCCACUGAUCCAAAGUAAAACAAUAUUCUGCACUAGAAACAGUACAAGAUAUCUCUGGGUCAACUUAUGUAAUAAAGUAAUCUUUGCAUGCAGAUUGUUAAUAUCAAUGAGAAACUUUAUCUCAAGUUAUUAUAUGAUCUUAGUUACUGUAGUUUUCAGUAUGGUUGCUCUUGCCAGUCGACUUUAGCUUAGCCUCCAUUUCUGAAUGUCUUGAAUUGAUUUCUCUUCCUGUGUUUGUCGCUCUUCCUAUUUCCAUUCCCGGUGCCAUAGUAAUAUAUAAUUGUUUCUGAUGAAUAUAAGACAUUCAGUGUGCUUAAGGACAUGGGCAAAACCAAGUAUAAUUUUAAGAGGAGCAUUUACGAGAUCGAGUAGCUGCAUGAUUUCUCAAUGCAAAGCUCCUAGCUGUGUUUGUGCACUUAUUCUUCCAAUAUAUUCUUAGGAUAUGCCUAACUACAGUUUUGUCACAUGGAUUCCUCCUUAUUUUGUUAUCAACUCACUUGAACUUAAUUAGUUUAUCUGUUAAUGUUACUGACUUGAAUUGUUUCUGAAUGUAUUAGGUACCAAUUUGUCAAUCUUUUACUAAAUAUAAAUAAAAUACAAAAAUGUUGCAACAAAAUGGGUCUGAUUCCAGAACUAAGCAUAUUUUUUAUACCCCAUUCUCAACUAUAUGCUCUAGAUUAUUAUGUUGUAGUUUGAAAUCCAAAUAUAAAGAUAAUUACAAUUUUUAUCUAAUUCACAACCUAUAUACAGGAACCGGCAGCAUUUUAGUCCAUUUUAAUCUGUAUCCAAUUUAGUAAACAAAAUUAGGCGAAAUGGAAAUACAGAGGAAAAAUGAAAUAGCCCACCUAAAGAUUUCCCCAUAACCAUUUUGAUUUGUACAAGUGGUAAUUUAACCUUCCAAUAUGCAGAUAUUGUGACUUCACUUAGGAUAGCGGAUCCCAGGAUCUUUAAGCAAGCCCUUGAUAGACAUGCAGACCACUAAGUUCACAUAUUUGUGUUCUGAAAAAGUUUCGGCCCUCUGCUGUCACGGAUUGCUUCUUACUUUAUUGUACAGGGACCCUGAUUGCUUUGCGUGGACACUGAUUGCUUAUUUCUCUUGGAGGGUUACUAAAAUGCGGUGUCUACCUUGUGUUGGAAAAAGUUGAACUCCAGGUCUACCGGAGAUUAGUUAAGAAAAUGUGAGUGUAAACUUGAAGGUCUCCUUGUCACAAUUUUACAGAAUGAACCAAUCCUUUUCGCUUUGCUUUCUUCUGCAGGCAUAUCAUCCAGAGGGAGAAGGAACCAUCGUCUAAGGCGCAUCAAAUCAAGCUAGAGGUCUCUGCAUCCAUUUUAGUCGAGUAGCAGUCUUGCGAAAGGUGACCGUGGCAAACAUUUUAUCCUGCUACAAGCACAUUAUUUGGAUGAAAUGGUGUUUAUUGUUGGUGGCUUAUUUGUAUGCCUAACAAGUUGGGAGCUUUUCUUCAGGGUGUGUCAUAACCUCAACCUUUAGGUUACUAUAAACAAGUUUGGAACGACAAGAAUAUUAAAUUAUAAAUUUUCACUGUUUUGUUACUAUAACUGGAAUGGAAUGAGCUGUGUACAUUAACCUGAUUCAAAUCCUUUUCAUCUCCAAUAAACUCUGUGUACAACAUCAGCCUUCAUUCAAACUCCACAUAUUGAAUAGUUUCACAACGUGUGCUGCUACAGCUAACACCCAACAGCAAGGCAAACAAAGAAGGCAUUAGAACACUUGUCCUUAUGUGAUGUAAAAAUUGCAUUUUUAUUUUGCUUCCAGUACUAGUUGCAUGUCAAUGUAUGUUACAAUAGGUUUAUUGUGCUAUGAGAGCUCCAUUUUGAGUUUCCAUUCUGUAUUUCUGUUACAGGUUUCCCAAAGAUACACUACUUGAUGGAGGUUUGGAUGAUCUACAAGCUGCUGAAGGUUUGCAAGAUCUACUAUUAAGUUGGUGGAGUGAUAAUGUAAUGCGCCUUGUUUGUUGAACCUGGAGACAUUGGCAAGUUGUGCUCUUUUUGGUGGUUGGUUUGGCACAUAGGCCACUAUAUGGCCAUUUUGGUUGUGGGACACAUGUAGAAACAUAUAUACUUCUCCCAUUGUGGCACUACUUCAUUUUGGUUGUGUGGCACAUCUAUCUAGAAACAUGUAUGUACUCCUUUUGUGGCACGGUCUGCUUAUAUAUGUUAUGUUUAUGGAAUGAAGUUUAAGGUUUCUGAUGAGGCCUAUAUGUUACUUUGAAGUGUAUGUAUAAAUUGUGUGAGGUGUCCCGAUUGCUUAACAUAAUGAAUGGAU